rnacentral:tRNA from 1 species
GCCGGGAUGGCGGAAACCGGUAACGCGCCAGUGCUUUUGCGGCGAAACUCGAGAUCUGGUUUCCUUCGGGAAGUUUGGGUUCAAAUCCCAAUCCCGGCG